rnacentral:misc_RNA from 1 species
UGCGCCUCACUUGCUGGCACGUCUAAAUCAGCCCGGAUGUAGGCAUGUGUAUCGUAUUUUGUCGGGUUUCGAGAUCAAGAAUCGAUGUCCCUUUGUUGGUUGGUUUUCCGAGAAUCCUUGAAUCGAUGUCCCUUUGUUGGUUGGUUUUCCGAGAAUCCUUGAAUCGAUGUCCCUUUGUUGGUUGGUUUUCCGAGAAUCCUUGACCCGUGAUUACGCUGGCCACCCGGCAAAAUGCGCCUCACUUGCUGGCACGUCUAGAUCAGCCCGGGCGUAGGCAUGUGUAUCGUAUUUUGUCGGGUUCCGAGAAUCCUUGAAUCGAUGUCCCUUUGUUGGUUGGUUUUCCGAGAAUCCUUGAAUCGAUGUCCCUUUGUUGGUUGGUUUCCUAGAAUCCUUGACCCGUGAUUACGCUGGCCACCCGGCAAAAUGCGCCUCACUUGCUGGCACGUCUAGAUCAGCCCGGGCGUAGGCAUGUGUAUCGUAUUUUGUCGGGUUUCGAGAUCAAGAAUCGAUGUCCCUUUGUUGGUUGGUUUUCCGAGAAUCCUUGACCCUUGAUUUGUUACUUUCGCAUCGUUCGGUGCAUUCUGGGGGAUGUUUUGGCUUUUGGUGGCUUACUUGGCCUUUUGGCUUGGUUUGUUGCUAUUGGUCGGACGGCUCUUGGGAAUGUCGACCGUGGAAGUGCAUGAGUGGUGUUUGGUUUGUUACGUGUGGAUGGCUGUUUGCUUGCGCAACAACGUUCAUGCUGCAUACCUCUUCAGUUUUGUGGCAAGACUUGGUUUGGCUUGUGCAUAUUGUGGGUUUCCUGUGUUGCAUACCUACUUGAAGGAAAAGUGUGGGUUUUACGAUUUUCAUUUUCGUCUUGCGUCGUUCUUUCGGCAUGGGAUGAACAAUGAAGCGAUCUUUAUGAUCCAUCGUGCUGUUGUGUUUGCAACAAUGAUGUGGCCUAUGAAGCAUCGUUUGGUCUCUUGUAUACGGAAGCUCGUUUGGGCUUGGGUCUUUAUAAGAUCUUCGUUCUGCCCUUGUUAAGCGUUCUCGCUUCUCCUAAACGAUUG